AAUGAACGCUGGCGGCAGGCCUAACACAUGCAAGUCGAGCGAAGUCUUCGGACUUAGCGGCGGACGGGUGAGUAACGCGUGGGAACAUGCCCUUUGGUGCGGAAUAGCCCCGGGAAACUGGGAGUAAUACCGCAUGUGCCCUUCGGGGGCAAGAUUUAUCGCCAAAGGAUUGGCCCGCGUUGGAUUAGGUAGUUGGUGGGGUAAUGGCCUACCAAGCCGACGAUCCAUAGCUGGUUUGAGAGGAUGAGCAGCCACACUGGGACUGAGACACGGCCCAGAAUCCUACGGGAGGCAGCAGUGGGGAAUCUUAGAAAAUGGGCGCAAGGCUGAUCUAGCCAUGCCGCGUGAGCGAUGAAGGCCGUAGGGUUGUAAAGAUCUUUAAGUGGGGAAGAUAAUGACGGUACCCACAGAAGAAGCCCCGGCUAACUCCGUG
rnacentral:rRNA from 1 species